GGACCUAUAUUUUCAUGCAUUUGAUUUUUUUGUUUGUUUGUUUUCUGGUAUUCAGCAAGUGGUGGGGAAAGCCUGCAAGCUCAGCCUGUUUUCAGUUUCAAGCAAGAAGGCUCCAACCAAAUGUGCAACAAGGAUGCAGAAAGAACAGACAAAUCUCCUCUGCAAGGUCAGCUGGCUGGACAAGACUAUAAGGACAUCAUCAGUAACGUUUCAGACAGGUCACAGAAAUGUGCAGAAUGUGAAAGUUGCAGAAGAGAAAAUCAACAGUCUGAAUCAGGAAGCUGGAGCAAUGAAGAUGAUGUUAUGCCCCACAGGAUUCCUGUUCUACCUAGAAGUAAUCAUGCAAAAACUUCUCUUGUUUCUUCAACAGUAUAGCCCAGCAUCUCCAUACAUGUACACUGAGAACAACACUAGUCUCUUGUACACAAACUAAGGAUUUGCUCUUUCAGUCUAAAAGACCAGAGCACUCAAGACACAAUUUUUACUACUGAUGCACAGAUAGGCCAUCCAAACUUUUGUAACUCUCAAAGGAGACACAAGGUCUCUCCUCUCUCCCUGACUGUUCCCAUACAACUUCCCAAAAUAAGUAAAUAAACACUUAAAAAUGCAGAACA
rnacentral:lncRNA from 1 species